GACGAACGCUGGCGGCGUGCUUAACACAUGCAAGUCGAACGGAAAGGCCCUGCUUUUGUGGGGUGCUCGAGUGGCGAACGGGUGAGUAACACGUGAGUAACCUGCCCUUGACUUUGGUAUAACUUCAGGAAACUGGGGCUAAUACCGGAUAGGAGCUCCUGCUGCAUGGUGGGGGUUGGAAAGUAUCGGCGGUGGGGGAUGGACUCGCGGCUUAUCAGCUUGUUGGUGGGGUCGUGGCUUACCAUGGCUUUGACGGGUAGCCGGCCUGAGAGGGUGACCGGCCACAUUGGGACUGAGAAACGGCCCAGACUCCUACGGGAGGCAGCAGUGGGGAAUAUUGCACAAUGGGCGGAAGCCUGAUGCAGCAACGCAGCGUGCGGGAUGACGGCCUUCGGGUUGUAAACCGCUUUCGCCUGUGACGAAGCGUGAGUGACGGUAAUGGGUAAAGAAGCACCGGCUAACUACGUG
rnacentral:rRNA from 1 species